rnacentral:tRNA from 1 species
CAGGGAGACAACAAAAUGUAAAUAUUAAUUUUGUCACCUUAGGUCGAUCGGUAUCUCAGAUUCUUAUUAUUUAAGAAUUUCAGUUUCUAAGUUUUUUCUAGGUCACACCCAUCACUUUUUCCUGGGCCAUUAGCUCAGGUGGUUAGAGCGCACCCCUGAUAAGGGUGAGGUCCCUGGUUCAAGUCCAGGAUGGCCCAUAUCUCUAUGUUGGGGGUAUAGCUCAGUUGGUAGAGCGCCUGCUUUGCAAGCAGGAUGUCAGCGGUUCGAGUCCGCUUACCUCCACUGAAUACCACCUCUUACAUAUAGUUGAAGUGGGAAAUUGUUUUGAGUCGGGUCCUAAUUUGCUCUGAGCGAAUCUAGCUUCCUAUUUUAUCCAAGAAAUAAAAUGCUGGACUCAUUGAAUUUUUUUUCUUUGUUUUCAAAGAACCUUGACAACUGUAUAUAUUAUUUUUAAAGACAAUAANCAUCUUUAAUGAUGCAUAUUUAUUAUUUGUGCGAAUGCAUUAAAUAACAAUUCUAUUAAGCUGAUGCUUCAAUUAUUGAAGUUAUU